UAGAACCUCAAAUCUGGUUAAAUGGGCUUAAGUCCAUUUACAAAGGAAAGAAAAUUGCUCCUCUUUGGAACAUGCUUGCUGGUCGCUUGCCCCUCUUGCUAACCUACGCACAACCCCUAUUGUUCUCCUCUCUCUUGCUCCUCCCUCCAACUAUCUUCUCUCUCAAACCCUAGCCUUUCUUCUUCUUUAGCGGCUUCUUCGCAGCACUUAGGAAGAGAGGAAGCAAAAGAACAUUCUGAAAAUUUUAAGAAACGACGUUUGGUAUACAAGUGAUGAAGUCAAGGCUCACUUUGGUACAAAUCUGCAUCAAAAGCGGGGUCGUUGAAUCAUCACCAAAGUUGUAAAGUAUAACCUAUCGUUGUGUUACCCUUUGAUUGUGGCAAUAUGUAUCAUUUUAUACUUUAUUUUGAAGAUGCACAUUGGAGCAUAAUGAGGAACUUUGUACCUAUGUUAUGCAUUCUAGGGGUGGAUAUGGAUGGUGAUGUCUUUGGAAUAGAAAAACUAUUAAUAGAUUUUGUAUUUUAAAUAUUAUUAAUCUUGACAGA